rnacentral:rRNA from 1 species
AGUGAACGCUGGCGGUAGGCCUAACACAUGCAAGUCGAACGGCAGCACAGUAAGAGCUUGCUCUUACGGGUGGCGAGUGGCGGACGGGUGAGGAAUACAUCGGAAUCUACUUUUUCGUGGGGGAUAACGUAGGGAAACUUCCGCUAAUACCGCAUACGUCCUACGGGUAGAAGCAGGGGCUCUUCGGACCUUGCGCGAUUGAAUGAGCCGAUGUCGGAUUAGCUAGUUGGCGGGGUAAAGGCCCACCAAGGCGACGAACCGUAGCUGGUCUGAGAGGAUGAUCAGCCACACUGGAACUGAGACACGGUCCAGACUCCUACGGGAGGAAGCAGUGGGGAAUAUUGGACAAUGGGCGAAAGCCUGAUCCAGCCAUACCGCGUGAGUGAAGAAGGCCUUCGGGUUGUAAAGCCCUUUUGUUGGGAAAGAAAAGCAGCAGGUUAAUACCCCGCUGUUCUGACGGUACCCAAAGAAUAAGCACCGGCUAACUUCGUG